CGUAGGGGGCAAGCGUUGUCCGGAAUUAUUGGGCGUAAAGCGCGUGUAGGCGGUCCGGUAAGUCGGCUGUGAAAGUCCAAGGCUCAACCUUGGGAUGCCGGUCGAUACUGCCGGACUAGAGUUCGGAAGAGGCGAGUGGAAUUCCCGGUGUAGCGGUGAAAUGCGCAGAUAUCGGGAGGAACACCAAUGGCGAAGGCAGCUCGCUGGGACGUUACUGACGCUGAGACGCGAAAGCGUGGGGAGCAAACAGGAUUAGAUACCCUGGUAGUCCACGCCGUAAACGAUGGGCACUAGGUGUGGGAGGUGUCGACUCCUCCCGUGCCGGAGCUAACGCAUUAAGUGCCCCGCCUGGGGAGUACGGCCGCAAGGCUA
rnacentral:rRNA from 1 species